rnacentral:misc_RNA from 1 species
GAUGAAGAACGCAGCGAAAUGCGAUAAGUAAUGUGAAUUGCAGAAUUCAGUGAAUCAUCGAAUCUUUGAACGCACAUUGCGCCCGCCAGUAUUCUGGCGGGCAUGCCUGUUCGAGCGUCAUUUCAACCAUCAAGCCCUGCUUGCGUUGGGGUCCUGCGGCUGCCCGCAGGCCCUGAAAACCAGUGGCGGGCUCGCUAGUCACACCGAGCGCAGUAAUACACCUCGCUUUGGGCGUGCGGCGGGUUCUUGCCGUUAAACACCCCCUUUUUACCAAGGUUGACCUCGGAUCAGGUAGGAAUACCCGCUGAACUUAAGCAUAUCAAUAAGCGGAGGA